CAUUUUGAAUGACGGCGCUGUCAGUGUUUCAGUGACUCCUCGUGAAAGCCUCUGUGAUGGAAAAUUUCACGUGGUCACAGUGUACAAACAACAUGAAAUUGUAAAACUAGUGGUGGACUCCAUGUCUAAACAGAAAGCUGCCCUCUUCACGUCCCCCUCGUACUCAACAACACUGGAUACACUUUACAUUGGAGGAACAACAAAGCGAAGCAAAGUCCCCGUGUCCUCACCAUUUGUGGGCUGCUUGCGCAAUGUGAAGCUUAAUGGAAGGCCUGUUGCAUUUGAGACAGGAUCCAGGGUGGUUGGCCCUGUGAGCAUCAAUAGAUGCCCUGCAGUCUAAGGAUGUGUAAUUACUGGGUGACACAUCAACUUCUUUAACCCCCACAGACCAUUUGGCAUCAUUACAAAGACCUAAGCUUUGUGGAAACCCACAGAACUAAAUUAGAAUUUCUACCCCCCUUAGAUACUGUUGCAACGCCUGGCAAGCAGUCCCUGAUAACAGGGACAGAUUUUUAAUGACAGGCAAAGCGGUUCUUUUCAGUGUAGUGAAUCAUUCGAAUCACUUCAUUAAAAAGAUCUGCUCACCAAAUUGUUCAGUGCUUGACCUUUGCUGUGUAGGCCUACUAAAUGAACUGAAUCACAGUUCAGUUCAGCUCGUUAACUAGUGAACUGAGAACGGUCGUUGGUGAAUGAUAAGUCAGUGAGCUGAGAAUGUAGUUGGAUAAAAACACUGUUUGCAAACUGAAAGCUGAAAACAAAGUCCUACCCUAUAUGUUGGGGCAGGUAUACUUUUGUAUUAUUUUAUUUAAUAAAAUAUUUGGUAGUCCUUCCUACUUCAAGACGUAAAAAGACAUGAGAGGGGCGAGGCUCAUGUUCACUGUGAAUGUUCAGCGAAUGAUUCACUGAACAUGCCCCGGUCCCCUGCAGUGAGAGGAUCUGACACCGCCUCAGGCUCAGCCACCUGUUUUUCUUUCAUAUUGCAGGUUUCACUACGCAUUGUUAACUACAAAAGAUGGUGAGAUUAAAAAAAGAGGUAACCUGAUUUUGUGUGUCAUUUUAAAUGUAUUACAUUUAAUGAGGCCAGAUGAAGCAAUUUAGUUUAUGCACUCUAUGAUACCAUGCCAAAAUCAGAAUCGCUUACUAUCCCUUUAAAUAUUAUAAGAUUAAGAUUAUAAUGUUAUGUUAAUGUGUGUGUUGUUGUCUCUUGUCUCUUUUCUGUGAU